rnacentral:rRNA from 1 species
AGCGGCGGACGGGUGAGUAACACGUGGGCAACCUGCCUGUAAGACUGGGAUAACUCCGGGAAACCGGAGCUAAUACCGGAUAUUAUUUCAAACCGCAUGGUUUGACAUUCAAAGACGGUUUCGGCUGUCACUUACAGAUGGGCCCGCGGCGCAUUAGCUAGUUGGUGAGGUAAUGGCUCACCAAGGCAACGAUGCGUAGCCGACCUGAGAGGGUGAUCGGCCACACUGGGACUGAGACACGGCCCAGACUCCUACGGGAGGCAGCAGUAGGGAAUCUUCCGCAAUGGACGAAAGUCUGACGGAGCAACGCCGCGUGAGUGAUGAAGGUUUUCGGAUCGUAAAACUCUGUUGUCAGGGAAGAACAAGUGCCGGAGUAACUGCCGGCGCCUUGACGGUACCUGACCAGAAAGCCACGGCUAACUACGUGCCAGCAGCCGCGGUAAUACGUAGGUGGCAAGCGUUGUCCGGAAUUAUUGGGCGUAAAGCGCGCGCAGGCGGUUUCUUAAGUCUGAUGUGAAAGCCCCCGGCUCAACCGGGGAGGGUCAUUGGAAACUGGGAAACUUGAGUGCAGAAGAGGAGAGUGGAAUUCCACGUGUAGCGGUGAAAUGCGUAGAGAUGUGGAGGAACACCAGUGGCGAAGGCGACUCUCUGGUCUGUAACUGACGCUGAGGCGCGAAAGCGUGGGGAGCGAACAGGAUUAGAUACCCUGGUAGUCCACGCCGUA